UUCAAAUUGAGAGUUUGAUCCUGGCUCAGGACGAACGCUGGCGGCGUGCCUAAUACAUGCAAGUCGAGCGAGCUGAAUUCAAAGAUCCCUUCGGGGUGAUUUGUUGGAUGCUAGCGGCGGAUGGGUGAGUAACACGUGGGCAAUCUGCCCUAAAGACUGGGAUACCA
rnacentral:rRNA from 1 species